rnacentral:rRNA from 1 species
UACGUAGGGUGCGAGCGUUGUCCGGAAUUACUGGGCGUAAAGAGCUCGUAGGUGGUUUGUCGCGUUGUUCGUGAAAUCUCACGGCUUAACUGUGAGCGUGCGGGCGAUACGGGCAGACUAGAGUACUGCAGGGGAGACUGGAAUUCCUGGUGUAGCGGUGAAAUGCGCAGAUAUCAGGAGGAACACCGAUGGCGAAGGCAGGUCUCUGGGCUGUAACUGACGCUGAGGAGCGAAAGCAUGGGGAGCGAACAGG